rnacentral:hammerhead_ribozyme from 1 species
AGCCAGUUGACGCGUCCCAAAUAGGACGAAACGCUCAUCCUGUAU